UACGUAGGGGGCAAGCGUUGUCCGGAUUUAUUGGGCGUAAAGAGCGUGUAGGCGGCUAGAUAGGUCCGUUGUGAAAACUCGAGGCUCAACCUCGAGACGUCGAUGGAAACCAUCUGGCUAGAGUCCGGAAGAGGAAGAGGUAGUACUUCGUGGUGUGCGGUGAAAUGACGCAGAUAUCAGGAAGAACACCCGUGGCGAAGGCGGCUUUCUGGGACGGUACUGACGCUGAGACGCGAAAGCGUGGGGAGCGAACAGG
rnacentral:rRNA from 1 species